rfam:Gossypium arboreum cultivar AKA8401 contig_1211_1, whole genome shotgun sequence.
UGUUAAAAAUUUCAUUUAUUUGUAUUAUUAAAAAACAAGUGUGGUGGACAAAAUAACUAGAUAGUGAUAUAUGGUAUGUCUUGUGUACCUCAAGUUGACAUACAAGAAUCAGUUUUUAACAGUAUAAAUAAAUAAAAUUUUUAAUA